AGGAAUAUUGGUCAAUGGGCGAGAGCCUGAACCAGCCAAGUAGCGUGCAGGAUGACGGCCCUAUGGGUUGUAAACUGCUUUUAUAAGGGAAUAAAGUGAGUCUCGUGAGACUUUUUGCAUGUACCUUAUGAAUAAGGACCGGCUAAUUCCGUGCCAGCAGCCGCGGUAAUACGGAAGGUCCGGGCGUUAUCCGGAUUUAUUGGGUUUAAAGGGAGCGUAGGCCGGAGAUUAAGCGUGUUGUGAAAUGUAGACGCUCAACGUCUGCACUGCAGCGCGAACUGGUUUCCUUGAGUACGCACAAAGUGGGCGGAAUUCGUGGUGUAGCGGUGAAAUGCUUAGAUAUCACGAAGAACUCCGAUUGCGAAGGCAGCUCACUGGAGCGCAACUGACGCUGAAGCUCGAAAGUGCGGGUAUCGAACAGGAUUAGAUACCCUGGUAGUCCGCACGGUAAACGAUGGAUGCCCGCUGUUGGUCUGAAUAGGUCAGCGGCCAAGCGAAAGCAUUAAGCAUCCCACCUGGGGAGUACGCCGGCAACGGUGAAACUCAAAGGAAUUGACGGGGGCCCGCACAAGCGGAGGAACAUGUGGUUUAAUUCGAUGAUACGCGAGGAACCUUACCCGGGCUUGAAUUGCAGAGGAAGGAUUUGGAGACAAUGACGCCCUUCGGGGCCUCUGUGAAGGUGCUGCAUGGUUGUCGUCAGCUCGUGCCGUGAGGUGUCGGCUUAAGUGCCAUAACGAGCGCAACCCCUCUCCUUAGUUGCCAUCAGGUUAAGCUGGGCACUCUGGGGACACUGCCACCGUAAGGUGUGAGGAAGGUGGGGAUGACGUCAAAUCAGCACGGCCCUUACGUCCGGGGCUACACACGUGUUACAAUGGCAGGUACAGAGAGACGGUCCCUUGCAAAAUGGAUCAAAUCCUUAAAGCCUGUCUCAGUUCGGACUGGGGUCUGCAACCCGACCCCACGAAGCUGGAUUCGCUAGUAAUCGCGCAUCAGCCAUGGCGCGGUGAAUACGUUCCCG
rnacentral:rRNA from 1 species